UACCGAAGGGCAGAAAGCCAACCUGGGAAUUGUUUUGUGCCCAGCACAGCUAGGGGAGGCUGGGAUUGCACUUCCUCACCCCAUUGGUGUCGGAGGGGUCAUUUAAAUUCAAGUCACCUCCCCCCCAGUCACACCUCCCAGUGGAAGGACAGCUAAUCAGUUCGGGGCCUUGGAGCUGGAGGACUCCCCCAGGUGGUGCUGCAUUUGGCAGGUAGACUCCUGUAAGUGCUGCCGAGGUGUAGCGGACUUUGAGUCAACCACAAAUACAGCUUCAUUUGAAAGAUACAGGGAUAAUAAAGCCCUGGCGGGCAAUCCUGGAUGAGAAUCUCUCAGAGUUCUUUCCGACUCGUGGCUGCUAUGGUGCUGCACAACCAAUUUUUCUAUUUUGUCAUUUUGGGCUUGAAGGCUUCUCCCCUUUUACCUCAAAUUACUGUCAAGCGCUCUGUUGGUUUUGGAGACUUUUCUGAGGAACAAGUGAACAAGGACUUGCAAAUUAUCUGAGUAACUCUUUUGUAUGUUAUCAGAUGUGGUGUAGAUCUGACAAUAAAACUGCUGAACAUGUGCUGAUUAGAUUUGAUGGAGGACUGUUGACUGAAGACUUUCAUUGCUGAAGCAUCAGUGACAUUUACACCAAGGAAAAAACAAACUACCAUAGCGAGUGACAGAUUCAGCAGAUGGCACCAGUAGAUUGACACCAGUCCCUUGAGAGGUCACAGAGGACAGACCUUGGAUGGAAGACAGUCUACAACUGUCUCCAGAAUCACACCAAGAAUGUUUCCAGAGGCACUAAGGCAACCAGUCAACUGGAUAUCAGGGUGGGAGAACUGAGGCUGACUACAUGCUUUAGCUUCAACUGAGAGUUUACUGGGAAGUUGUCUUCUUGACGACCAGUUGUUUGAGUCAGUUAAUCAAUAAGCAUUAAGUAUCUAUUUACCAGUCAUGGUGUUAGGAACUAGGGAUACAAAGAUAAACACCUGCCCUCAAGGAGCAUACAUUCUGGGGCCAGAGUGGGGAGGAGAAAAUAUACAAAAUAUGCAUUUCCAUAUGAACCAGAUUCAAAGGUAGGGCAAGGUAAUUUGAAUGAGUGACUCUUUCAUGCAUCAGCAGAUGUAAUGUAGGUCUGAUGACAAAACUGCUGAAUAUGUGCUGAUUAGACUUGAUGGAGGACUAUUGACCCAAAGACAUUCAUCGAUGAAACAGCAGUGAUGUUCCCACCAAGGAAGAAAUCCCAGGCGGUUUAGUGAGAUCAGGGAGGGCUUUGUUAAGGGGACACCUGAGCUGAACUUUGAUGUUUAGAUAGGUCGGCCAGGAUUAUAUGCCACAGAAGCAAAUACUAUAAUUUGUAGUAGUAUGUAGACGUAAAAGGAGGGCAAACAUGGAGAGUACCAGCCUCUUCAAGAAAUUCUCAUGAGUUUAAGCACCUAGAAGGGAAGCCAAGAGCUGGGAGACUGGGAGGAAGGUUUAAAGAUUAAGAGAGGAAUGACAUAGAUAAAAAACAAGGGAAAGAUCUUCAGCGUCAUAUCAACUCAACAGAGAGAGAGAGAACAAGCUGCACUAAUUUUAUUUAGGAUACUAGGAUUAGGGGUUCUCAGGAUAUCAAUCAAAAAAGUAAAACAACAGAAGUAUUGCCAUAAUAUUGACAAGCAAUUACAAGAUAAAGGAACAGAUAGCAACACAAUUGUACAGCACAGUGCCCAGUAAAGAAGCUGACUUCAAAGUCCCUCUGGACUUUGAUCUAACCUUCUUCCUAGAACACUGGCACCAAACUUAUUUAGAUGUUAAGUGUAGGUCUUAGAUAUUACAAAGGACUUUUACAAAUAGUUUGCUAGACUUCCAGACUGCAGAUAAUAAUAGAAGCUUAAUUUUCAAGUUUCACAAAAUUUAAGACCCAUCCAAUUUAAGGAUUCAGAAAUCAAUCAUGUGAACUGUUAGAAAUAUAUUCGUAAGUCUGAUCCAUGAACACUUUGCUCAGUCAGCUUUUGAAUACGUCUUUAAUAUCUUCAUGAUUAGUUAUAACUGAAACCCUUCAAAACAUCAUAGGGAGGAGAUCAAGGAAGGCUUCCUGGAAGAGGAGAUGGCAUUUGAUUUGGGCUUUAAAGAGUUGGUAGCUAUCCCUUCUUCUUAAAAGACUCCUUUGAUGCCUCUUCAUGGUGUGGAAGUGAUCCUGGGUACUUGAAAGCAUUGUCAAAGAAACAAGCUGUGGCAGGUUCUCCAGUGCUGGGAAGGGGCAGACCAGUGACUGCAGUGAACCGCUAUAUCUGCUGCUUUUUGAAGUCCUCCUACUAAGUAGAGGCUCAUCAGUGGAUGAGAAUCUACUCACUUGGUGAAAAGUUCUUUGGCAGUAACCCCUAGGUGAUAGUAACAGAGUGGAGGAGUGGGGCAUUCUGUGAACAUUCACUUAAUUGUUGUUAGGACAAAUGUGAGAUCCUUUUCUGAUAACCAAUGACAUACUAUAAAAACUAACUUGUGUCAAUUACAGAGCAUCAAUUUCUACCUGAAAAGUCUUUAAAGGCCAUAUAGUGUGAUUUCCUAAUUAUACAGAUGGAAAAGAAUCCUGGAGAAGUUACAAGGCAAGUAAGGAGAAGCACUUGGUCAGAUGGGCACCAUAUCUUUGGUGAUUUGUGUCUUCUCUGCAUAUAUAUAUUCUCCAUAUAGCUUGACAUUUUUAAAAUAAAUAAAAUUGGAAUAUAAAAGAGGGUUACAUCUCAAUGGAAGAACAGCUCAGGUUCUAUUUGGAAAAUUAAUGAAGGAGUUUGUGGAGUUAGCUUAAUUGUGUACCUAACAGCAACUAGAAAUGUUUCAUGGAACAUUUUAUCAUUUUAUAUUACAGUAAUCAUGAUGAAGUAUUUACAAGAAGGUCAGUAUGAAAAAAAAUUGUAGCUUAUGUGCCAGCAUUAUUUUCAGAGUAAAAGGAGUAGUUGUUAUGCAAAAGACUAAAGCAUACUCUCAAAAUUAAAUCAGUAUAUACAUUGAUGUUUAAUAGCUUCAGUAUAGAGAUAGGCAUAGAGGAGAAAGAAGAGAAAUGUCUGAAAAUAGUGGUUCAGGAAUAAGAAAGGCCAAAGGUUUAUAGACUACCCAGAAACCUUGUACCUCUAUGUUAUUAAUAUUUUCUUUUUAAAACGUUAUUUUCUGUCUCAAUAUUGACUCUUAAAACAGAAGGACACGGGGUUGUGAGGCAAGAUUUGAACCCAAGUCCUCCCAACUCUAGGCCUGGCUCUCCAUGGUGCCAACUAACUGCCCCUAGUAUUUGCUUUGAAAAGAGAAUUGAUAUGUGCUGCAAAUGGCAAGUCCUGAAAAUAUUGUCCAAGGACAAUUGAUUAGUGACAAGGUUGCUUCCAAGAUGCUUUGCUUGCUGAGUCUCAGGAGAAUGGAUAGGAGCUGGAAUGAACCAUUCUUUGCCUUGGUCCAACAAAGUUAGUUGACAGAUCACCUGUGCCCUUUUUCCUCUGACCACUUUUCAAUUUUUGUAUUUUUGUGUCCAGUGCUAUGGGGGCAGGGUAAGAGAUUUGCCCCUUUUCUGCCCUCAGGAGUUGAUGGUGCUUUAGAGCAGACAUGUGCUUGUGUGCUUGCUGGCAUCACCAGAAUGGGUUUUCCCAGCCUAAUAGGUGCUUGCAAACUGGGUAUUGAUUGACAUUGAAGCCUAUACAUGACUGAAGCAGAUAGACAAGUAUUUCAAAGAGGGGAUCGAUGGAGAGUACUUUUUUUUUUUUGUUAGCCUUCAGACUAUGUUUAUGUCCCAGAUUAGGAAUAAGGAAGAUAGGUCAAAACAUAGAAUGGGACUGUGAAUUUUUGAUGGACUAUGCAGGAGACUCUUUGGGAAAGAACUUAGCAGAAAGUCAGUUGCCCUAAUAGUACUCUGAAGUUCUGUUACCUUGCAAGAGCAGCUAGUGGGUUAUUCAAAGGUUUUGUGUUUUGUGUUUGUUUUUUUCUAUUUAUGACUCCUUUGCAUCUUUUGUUUUUUCCUCCCAUGGAGCAAAAUAAAGGAUGUUCUACAUCAAGUUUUCAUUUUUUAUUUUGAAUGCCUUUACUGGAGCUAGAAACCCCAUUAUCCACAUUUGAGGAAACCUAGAUACAACCUGUAUUUUAAUUUAAUUUAAUUUCAAUAGAAUAUAGGCUUCUUGAGGGCAAAGACUAUUUGGCAUUUAAAUCCUCUGCACCUGUUGCUUAAUCUAUGUGUGUUGAUUGGAAACUUUGGAAAUACCAGGGUAGAGGUAUAGCAAACCCAAACAAGCAAAUCAUCCCUUUGAGGUCAGUCCUUGAGUGAAUCUACGUGAAUCUAAAGUCUUUGGAUUUGCCCUGUGCCUUAAGUGGCUUGCAUCCUUAUCACUCAGGAAAAUGCUUUUCUGUGAAAAUUACCAAUGACUUCCUUUUUUUCUUUCAGAUUUUACAAAAAUAAGCAUUUCCACAUACAAAGGAAGAGAAGGUUGUAUAUAAAUGAAAUAUAAAUUUCUUAUGUGUUUAGCUUACUUUUCUUCAUAUUUACAUAAUAAAUCUCAUCUGCAAGUGUCCCAGCCCCUCCCUGCCUCACAGAUGAGACCAGCAUAUUCAUACAAAUUAUGUCUUGCUUGUCUUUACCUUUCUGUUUAUUAUCUGGAAGGUGACAUUCACCGUUUAUUCUUGCAGUAUGAAUUCUGUAGCUGUGUAUAAUGUUCUAGUGGUUCUACUCAUUUUACUGUUCAUUAGUGUAUAGUUCUGAGUUUUUUUUUUUAAUUAGCUUGUUCAUCACUUCUUAUGGCACAGUAGUAUUCCAUCACAAUCAUAUUCCAAAAUUUGUUUGUUCAUUCCCCAAUGGAUGGGCAUCCCAUUUAAUUUCCAAUUCUUUGCCACCACCACAAAAAGAGCUGCUAUAAAUAUUUUGGGGUAUAUGGGUUCUUUUUCUUUUUCCCUGAUCUCCUUCAGAAAUAGACCCAGCAAUGAUAUUGCUGAGCCGAAGGGAGCAUGCACAGCUUUAUAACUCUUCAAUGACCUCUUCAUUGCCAAAUUUGGCAUUACCCAGUGCUAACCUUCUUCUCUUUUGUUUUCUUAGAGGGUCAAACAUUCUCCUUAUUAAAUUAAUUUAAUAAUACAUCAGUUCAAAAUGACUAGUAGGGAAUGUAGAAAUAUGGAAAGGUAGGGGUCAAAUCAUGGCCCCUUGAAUAUUAGGCAAAAGAGUUUGGAUUGGGGCAGUGAGGCGGCUCAGUAGAUAGAGUAUCAGGCCUGGUGUCAAGAGCACCUGGGUUCCAAUCUGGCCUCAAACACUUCACAGCUGGGCAAAUCACUUAACCCCAAUUGUCUAGCCCAGUGGUUCUCAACCUUUCUAAUGCCGUGACCCGGCAAUACAGUUCCUUAUGUUGCAGUGACCCCAAACCAAAAAUUUAUUUUGGUGGCUACUUCAAAACUGUAAUUUUGCCACAAUUAUGAUUCAGAAUGUAAAUACCUGAUAUGCAUUAUGUAUUCUCAUUGCUACAAAUUGAGAGGUUGAGAACCGCUGCUCUAGCCCUUCCUUACCCAUCUUCUGCCUUGGAACCACUACUUAGAACUGAUUCUAAGGCAGAAGGUAUGGGUUUAAAAAAUAAAAGAUUGGGUGAAUUGAUUAGAGAUGUGAGGUAAGGGACAGUAAAAAAAAUUGAGAUGACUAUCCUGGGUGGGUGGUAGUUGCCUCAACUUACAUAUAACAUAUAUUUAUAAUUUUUAUUAAGAUAUUUUAUUUUCCCAAUUACAUGUAAUAACAAUUUCCCACAUUUGAUUUCUGAAAUUAUAAGAUGCAAGUUGUCCCCUUCCCUCCACCCCUCCUGGAGAUGGCAAGCAAUUUGAUCUGUCUUAUACAUAUGUUUUCAGGUAAAACAUACUUCUGUAUUGAUCAGUAUUGUAAGAGAAUAUUCAUAUAAAACCAAAACCCAAAAUAAAAAAAAACAACUUAUAUGAAAACCAGUAUCCUUUGAUCUGUGUUCCAACUCCACUAAUUCUUUCUCUGGGUAGCAUUUUUUGUCCUAAGUCUUUUCAGAAUUGUCCUGGAUCAUGAUAUUGUUGAGAGUAUCUAAGUCUUUCACAGUUGAUCAUGGUACAAUAUUGCUGUUACUCUGUACAGUGUUCUCCUGCUUAUUUCUCUCUGCAUGAGUUUGUGUAAGUCUUUCCAACUUUUUCUGAAAUCAUUCUGCUCAUCCUUUCUUAUCACACAAUAGUAUUUCAUCACCAACCUAUACCAUAGUUUAUUUAGCCAUUCCCCAAUUGAUGGACAUCCCCUCAGUUUCUGAUUCUUUGCCACCAAAAAAAGGGCUACUGUAAAUAUUUUUAUGUAAGUAGGUCCUUUUCCCUUUUUUAUGAUCUCUUUGGGAUAUAUAUACCUACUAGUGGUAUUAUAGGAUCAAAGAGUAUGUUUUUUCUAGUGUUUUUAAUAGGAAUGGGUAUUGUAUUUGUCAAAGACUUUUUCUGCAUCUAUUGAGACAAUUUUGUUCUGUUAAUUUGGUUGUUGAUAUGGUCAUUUUUGCUGAUAGGUUUUCUUAUGUUAAACUAGCCCUGCAUUCCUGGUUAUAUUUGAAAAAUAUUAGAUUAAAAUUAAUAUCUCCAAGUUCUUGUUUUCUAUGAAGUUUAUUAAUAAUCUCUUGAAAUAGAAAAGUUAGAUAAGCAUUGAUUUAAAGACUCUUUCUUACUGACCAUGUACUACAUGUGAGUUACAUGGGUAGCUCAUUCUGCAGGAUUCUCUGUCCAUCUCACCUACCUGCUCAGGGAAGUAGAGAUUAUCCUAACCCUUCAGGACUUGCUUAAAGGCCUUUCCACUGUUGCCACUACCUCCCCUUCCAUAAUCUCCUAAAUUUCUCCAGUUAAGCUACCUGAACUUCUCCUGAAUGUAUGGAGUAGCAUUGACUAGUUCCUCUAAUCAGGGAAGAGAAGCCCCUUUGGUCUUAGCCAAGUUGGUUCCCUUUUAUAAACCCAGUACAGAGGGGUGGUUCUGUUUAUUAGUCAUCCAAGCCAAUCAAAUCAUUUCCAGUUCUGAGAUUUAAUCAGACCAAGGUGAAGUUUGUACUAAGAGAUAUAAAUCUAAAACCUGAAUUAAUGGCCUCAUUCCUGAGAUUCUUUAAUUACAACCCCAUCUGAGCCUAAAGGAAAAGAGAAAGCAGAGUUAUUUGGAUGAAGAAUAUUUUUAAGUUAGGUGAGCAGGACUGGUAGAACACUACCAAUAGCAGGAGAACCCGCAAAAUGAAUGAAGGAAUUAUUGAAAUAUUGAAAAUUGCUUUCUUGACCAAAUGCCAAUCUGGUUAACAGGUUUCAGCAACAUGCCCUUCCAUGGGAUAAUUAAACAAUGAAUUGGCUGGGACCAAUGGAAAAUCCUUUAGCUGGGGCCUCCCUAUGGCCUGCUGGUAAGGCAUAAGGGCUCUGGAUCAAGUGACACAGGCCAGGGGACACUUCAGAGUAAAGUUCAAGAAGAGAAGGAUAUCCAAGGUGACCUGGGAUGGGGGAAGAGGCAGGCAGGGGUUGUUUGGCAGAGAACCCUUCAGCAGAACAAUGAGAUUUUUGGACAUUUUGUGAGAUUGUGGUUUCUGCCCCUUCAAUGGGCACAUUUAUAGUUGCAUGAACUUACAUCUAAAUUCUUUUCUCCUUUUUCAAUUUGGCAAAAAUUGUGCAAGUGCACUUGGGUGUGUCGUAUUUCUCCUGGUGGUAGAGAUUUGGUUUUGUUUUUGUGUCUUUGUAUCCCGUGUGCUUAAUAAAUAUAUGCUGAUUUGAGGAUAGUAGGCCCCAUGGAAUGAUGUCCAUUUUGCACCUGAGAAAACAGUACCUAUCUCCAUCCCAGAGACUGCCCCUUUCUCCUAAUCCUAAUAACCUUUCCAAUGGCUAGCUAGGGUAGGAGGUAGAAGACUCUGGCUACGGAAAAGAGCAAAGCUAAGUAAUAGGUCAAGGUCUUUGGCCUCUGUUCUAAUCACAUGGGCUAAAUGGACAAUGUACAUGUUGAGAUGGGUUUACAAGAUCAUGAAUCUCUUGUAUGGUUCUUUACUCUAAGCAUAAAGAGCCCCUCCUGCCGGGAUGUAUGUAGAUAAAUGUCUAUCUCCCCCAGUUAUAAAAGACUCAAAGAAUAGUAUUCAAUUUAUUCCUUAAUACCCACCACCAGUGGGAGUGGAGGGUUGGGAAGGAAAUGGCAACACCAAGGUCAACCAAGACACCAUAUAAAAAUAGUAGAUAAUGAGCAAAAUAUAAAAGAGAGAGCUACCUCUCAAGAUCCAAACCAGACCCCCUCCCUUCCCCCAAGGGCUCUGGUGGGGUAACAGGUAUCAUGGGGAAGGAAGCCAGAAGGCUUUUGGGAACCAAGAGGCCUAGGCUCCGUGGUAGGGGAAGGGCAGGCUUCAAAGCCAGAUGUCAGAGCUGCAGUCACCCCCAGGGUAUCGGAGCUCAUGAGCUAAGGCUGGACCCAAAGGCUCUUUCCCAAAAUCCACCAGGAAGUUAGGGUUAAGUUUCAGGCCCCCCUUUUCUGUGUUUACAUCAACCUGCAGCAUCACUGAACCUUCCCUGGAAGAAAAGGGACAGAUAUAGGGGAUAAAGCAGAGGUCAAAAAGCCUUUUCCCAUCCUUGAGAUUUAUUCUCCACCCUCCCCUCCUGUAGACACCAAUUUAUGGGACCCCCCCCCCCCGCAGUUUGUCAGUAGAGACUUAGGUAGGAUGAUGACUUUUAGGGGAGAGAUUUUAGGACAAUCACAGGAGCUGGAUUUCUAUUUAGGGAAUAUAGGAGAGAAUGUAUGUUAGGAGAGAAGCCUGGGAGGGACUUUCCCUGUCUGGGAGGGAGGAGGGAGGGAUGUGAUGGGAGAUAUGAGGGUGGCAGGAGAGAGAAAGAUUAGGAAGCAGAGGCAAAUUCUUACCUAAUGAGGUCAGGGUAGAACUGCUUAUCCCAAGCACUAUACAAGGAGGUGGUGACAUAGAGACGCCGUCCAUCCAAGCUGAGCUGGAUCAUCUGGGGACCACCUUGGACCUUCUUACCCUAGGGGAAGGAGCGUAAAGGAUCCUGAUAGCCUCGGUUGAUAUAGUAUAUAUCUAUAUUUCUAUCUACACACAUAUAUGGCCAGAGAGAGAAAAAGACAUUUCUCUUCCUCUCCCUCAGAUCACCCUGUUUUCUCCUUCCACCUUAAGUAGGACCCCAGACCUGUAUGAUAACGUCUGUAGUGGGAUGUCUGUCCCUAAAAGAAGGAGGUGCUUUUACCUUAACCACCAAGGGCUCCGGUUGACAGUUCAGUUCCUCAUCCUGUAGGACUCUCACAGGACCUCCCUGAACAAUGCUUCCCCCAAGGAAUAUCUGUUUGAGAGAGGUGAUGCUGAAGGUGAUAGCACUCUCCAUACUGGAAUUGUGUCCAUAUCACUAAUCCAUCUCCUCCUCCCCAACCCACAGCUGUGCCUCGCAUCCAAGAGCUCCCUUUCCAUUCUCCUUGGUCAGCAAUCCCCAGCUUCUUGCCUUUCCUCCUGUCCUCAUUCCUUUGUCUUUACAAAUACUUGUCCUGUUCCCCUUUCCCCCCACCAAAUCUUUUUUUAACUCAACUUUGAUUUCCCUUUGGUUUUUCUCCACUCUGCCUCUAGCUCCCCCCUUUUCCAUAGGUCUCUCCCCAGCUCUACAACCUGUCCAGCUAAGCGGGGCCUUUGAGGAUCCGAUAUGUCAUAUUGCCUCACGUCACCAUGAAUCCAGUUGCUAAAGUAGAGGAAACGGUCGUCCAGUGACAGGAGGAUAUCCGUGAUCAGGCCUGAGGGGAGGGAAGACAAAAGAUGAUGACUUCUGGAUUCCCCACUGGCAGGAAGCAGGGGCAGGCCCUGGCUCUGUUCAGCCUUCCCUUUGACAGUUACCUGGCAUAUCAGGCAGCAUCCAUCCCUCCACUUUCUUGGAUGGCACCUGGAUCACCUUUUCAAUUUCCCACUUGCCUCCCUGUAUCAGAAGUGAAGCAGAGAGUUCAGGAACCAGGAAGGAUGAGGAGAAAGAGACUGAGACAGACUCGGACCCCUCAGAUUGUAAGAAGAGAGACGAUGGUUACCAGCUGUUUACUGAACACCUGCUGGGUUGGCAGGUAUGGAGGAGGUUAAGAAGAGGACCAAAACCAUGAGAAUGUGCAGAUAUCUUCAAUGUCUCACUCACCUUUGCUGGAGAGACAGUGCUGGGCUUGGAGCCAGGAAGGUCUGAGUUCAGAUCCAGCCUCAGACCCUCAUUAGCCUGUGACCUUGGACAAAAUGCUUCACUCUGUUGGCCAAGUUUUCUCAACUGUCAAAUGGUGAUAAUAAUGGCAGGGUUGUUGGGAGGAUCAAAUGAAAUCAUAUUCAUAAAAACAUCUAUAUAAAUGUUAGUUAUAUAAUUAUCAUUGCUCUUAGUUCUAAACUCUUAAAAAAAUAACCCUAAUUUUCUAUUUUAGAAUCCACACUAAGUAUUAGUUCCAGGCAGAGGAACAGUCAGGGCUGGGCAGUUGGAGUUAAGUGGCUUGCCCAGGCUGGCCUAGCUGGGAAGGGUCUGAGGUUAAAUUUGAAUCCAGGACCUCCCAUCUCUAGGCCUUUUUAUCCUGGCAUUGAAGGCCCUCCAUGCUUUGGCCUCUCCAUAUCUACUUGCCUUUCUACUUUUUUUUUUGUCACUACUGUUCCCCUAGGCUGAAUUUCAGCCAACCCAGUAGGCUAGCUCUCCCCUCAACACGUGUGGUGAUUUCAUGUUGCCAAGCCUUUGGCCCUGCUGUUCCUUAAGUGGGAAGUGCCUUUCCUUUUCAUAUCUAGCUGUUACAACCCAAUUUGUUCCCCAGGCUGUUAACGGAGGAAUAAAGAAGCCUGACAGUGAUUUCUUUAGCCGUGAAUGCAUGUGGUUGCAGAAACAAAUCAGGCCCAGAACCUUGCUUUCUAUACAAUAUGCAGGAGGCUGAGAGGGAUCCGGACCCCUGGCUUCUUGUUGGGAGAGGGGCUUGGGAGACACUGAGGUGAGAGAAGAGGGGGACGUUUUGUGACAUUCCUUAAUCAGAUGACUUUUGGGAAGGCCAGUGAUCUUGGGACCCAUCCAAGCAGCUAAAACAUUGUGGGUAAAGGCAAAAUGGAGUCCCUAAUAUUAAUACAAGACAACCCACAUACCAUCUUCUAGUUGCAAUUUCUCCCCUCUGAAAACUGCCCAGUGAGUUGUACCUUUUGUGCCAUUCUCAAUAGUUCUUCUUUUUUUUCUUUUUUAACCUCACCUUCCAUAAGUACUGGUUCCAAGGCAGAAGAGCUGUCAGGGCUAAGCAAAGGGGGUUAAGUGACCUGUCCAGGAAGUGUCUGAGGCCAGAUUUGAACCCAGAACUUCCCAUCUCUGGGCCUGGCUCUCUAUCCUCUGAGCCACCCAGAUGCCCCCUCAGUAAUUAUUCUUGUACUUGUCCUAGUUCCCCCACCAUUUGAUAGGCCCCCUGAGGGCAGGGAUUAUAUCCCAUUCAUUUUAGUAUCCUUCUAGGGCACUAGUACAGCCCCUUGCCCAUCAUGCUAGAAGCCCAGUAGAUAGUUGUUGAAUGAAUGAAUAAAUGAAUGAAUGAAUGGAGAGAAUAGUUUAAGAGCAGGGAAUUCUGUCACACAGCAGAGAGAAGGUGUAGCACAAUAGUAGGUGUCUUCUCUGUUCACUUUGUUCACACAAACUAAGGAUAUUCCUGGGGAUUUCGGGCCUUGACACCAUGAAGCUUGUCAAUGGAAGAGCCAGAAGGUAGAGGCGACUGGCAUAGCGCUCCUUUGUCCCUGGCUCUUGAGUCUUCCCCAUCCUCAAAAGCUGACUCCUUGCCAGGAAUGACCCCCAUUCUACGAAUGCUCUCUUUUCCCAUAGCCUGACUUUUUGUCUGCAAAAAACACUUUCAUCUUCAGAGAUGAAAGUUCCAGGGUGGGGUUUUAUAGAGCUGGAGAGUCCUGGGUGCCAGAGUAUCCAGGCUCGCCAAACCAGCCAGGACUGGCAGGAAAUGGAGCUGGGCCCUCGGGGAUCAUGGAGCCCUCAGAGAGAGAAAGAGGCUACAUACCCAGUGGAGGGGCCCCCCUGAGCAUUUCUCAUCUCAGAGCCCCCAUCUCCCCUCCACUUAGGAGGGGUCUGUUGUGUGGUCUCUGUGAGUUACAAAAUUUAGGAAAGUGGUGGAUGUAGUAAGUACUUAUAUAAUUGUUAAUCAUAAUAAUAAUGAUUAAUUUUAUUAAAAUCCAAGCUCUUUCACCUGGUCUUCAGGAUCCUCCAUGCUUUGGCCCCUCCCUCCCUCCCUCCCUUUUAAUUUUAAUUUUUCACUACUACUCCCCCAUGUUGAACUUUAGCCAAGCUGAUCUACUGGCUUGUCCCUGAACACAUCUGGUGAUUUCAUACUACCAAGCUUUUGGCCAUGCUUCUCCUUAAAUGAGAAAUACCUUCCCUUUCCAUAUCUAGCUGUUAAAAUGGAACUUGUUUCUUGGAGCCCAAUCCAAAUGCCAUCUCCAUACAGAAUCUCUUCUUUUUUGCCCCCAACUAGUUGUAAUUCAUGGAGCUUAAAGUCUAGUACAGAACAAUAAAGCAAAUAUUCAACAAGCCUGGUGCCAAGCAAGCAUUGGGGAUAU